AUACUUACCUGGCAGGGGACAUACCAUGAAGAUGAAGGUGGUUUUCCCAGGGCGAGACUUACCUAUUGCUCUCCAGAUGUGCAGACCUCUGCAAUUUCUCCAAACAUGGGAAACUCUACUGCAUAAUUUAUGGUAGAGGGGGACCGCAUUAGUGCUCUCCCCUG